rnacentral:rRNA from 1 species
GAGGGAGAAGCCUUCGGGCUAAAACCGGCGCACGGGUGCGUAACGCGUAUACAAUCUGCCUUUUAUCCGGGGGAUAGCCCGAAGAAAUUUGGAUUAAUACCCUAUGGUAUAAGAGCACGGCAUCGUGCACUUAUUAAAGCUACGGCGGUAAAAGAUGAGUAUGCGUUCUAUUAGCUAGUUGGAGAGGUAACGGCUCCCCAAGGCGACGAUAGAUAGGGGUUCUGAGAGGGAUGUCCCCCACACUGGUACUGAGAUACGGACCAGACUCCUACGGGAGGCAGCAGUGAGGAAUAUUGGACAAUGGUCGGAAGACUGAUCCAGCCAUGCCGCGUGCAGGAUGACGGCCUUAUGGGUUGUAAACUGCUUUUGUAAGGGAAGAAUAAGGAGUACGUGUACUUUGAUGACGGUACCUUACGAAUAAGCAUCGGCUAACUCCGUGCCAGCAGCCGCGGUAAUACGGAGGAUGCGAGCGUUAUCCGGAAUCAUUGGGUUUAAAGGGUCCGUAGGCGGGCUAAUAAGUCAGGGGUGAAAUCGUUCAGCUCAACUGAGCAACUGCCUUUGAAACUGUUAGUCUUGAAUAGUUGUGGAGUAGUUGGAAUGUGUAGUGUAGCGGUGAAAUGCUUAGAGAUUACACAGAACACCGAUAGCGAAGGCAUAUUACUAACAAUUGAUUGACGCUGAUGGACGAAAGCGUGGGGAGCGAACAGGAUUAGAUACCCUGGUAGUCCACGCUGUAAACGAUGGAUACUAGCUGUUUGGACGCGAGUUUGAGUGGCUA